AUUGAACGCUGGCGGCAUGCUUUACACAUGCAAGUCGAACGGUAACAGCCCUUCGGGUGCUGACGAGUGGCGUACCGGUUAGUAAUGCAUCGGAACGUUCCCAGUGGUGGGGGAUAACGCAGCGAAAGCUCUGCUAAUACCGCAUGUGCUCUGAGUAUGAAAGCUGGGGUCCAGCCACCAUGGUUUGGCCUCGUGCCUUUGUAGCGGCCAAUGUAAGAUACGGUCGUUGGCGGGGUAAAGGCCUACAUAGCCGACGAUCUGUAGCUGGUCUGAGAGGGCGAACAGCCACACGGUGAGUGAGACAGGGCCCAGACUCUGACGGGGAGAAGCGGCGGGGAAUUUUGGGCGAUGGGGGCGAGCGUGAUCCAGGAAUGCCGGGGGCGGGAAGAUGGCGUUCUGGUUGGAAAGCGCUGUUGUACGGAACGAAAAGGAUCUGGCUUAUACGUGAGGAUGAUGACGGUACCGGAAGAAUAAGCACCGGCUAACUACGUG
rnacentral:rRNA from 1 species